UGAAAUGCAAAGAGGAGAUAUCAUAAGAUAGCCAAAUCUUUGGCCCUCUGAAAAAAAGAACUCCGGAAAAUCAUUUGAAUGUCAGAUCUUUUGAUAUUUCCAAUCUGCUUUCCUGAUUUAGGGCCCUACUUUCUUCAACUUAUUCAGUGGAAUUUCAAAGUACAAAGAAACUGCCGGAUUUGGCCUUAAGGAGGUUCAGGUGUUUAAAACAGACUACAGCAGUUACUUUGAUUUUUUUCAAGGAAUACAGUUUUCAGUCCAGACAGCAUCAAAAAUGCUCUUCUGCAAUAGUCUGCAAAACUGCUGGGAGCAGCAGAAUAUAAUACCGCCCUGCACAAAGCAUCAGAGGUGCCAAGAUCAUGUAUGUACAAUGUGCAUCUACAGAGAAGUUAACUUAUCAAAAGAAUCCCUGGAAAAGCGAAAGUAGAUAGCAAGUGAAAGAUGAGUGGCAAAUUCUACCCAGGGAAAAUAAUUAGAAAUAUGGCUGUCCCUGAAGUAUGCUGUAGAUGACACGGGCACUGUUUCCAUAUGAAGGAUCAUCA